rnacentral:rRNA from 1 species
UACGUAGGGUGCGAGCGUUGUCCGGAAUUAUUGGGCGUAAAGAGCUUGUAGGCGGUUUGUCGCGUCUGCUGUGAAAAUCCGGGGCUCAACCCCGGACUUGCAGUGGGUACGGGCAGACUAGAGUGUGGUAGGGGAGACUGGAAUUCCCGGUGUAGCGGUGAAAUGCGCAGAUAUCGGGAGGAACACCGGUGGCGAAGGCGGUUCUCUGGGCCUGACCUGACGCUGAGGAGCGAAAGCGUGGGGAGCGAACAGG